rnacentral:rRNA from 1 species
GCCAGACUCCUACGGGAGGCAGCAGUGAGGAAUAUUGGUCAAUGGGCGGGAGCCUGAACCAGCCAAGUCGCGUGAGGGAAGACGGUCCUACGGAUUGUAAACCUCUUUUGCCGGGGAGCAACGGGGUCCUUGCGAGGGCCCGAUGAGAGUACCCGGAGAAAAAGCAUCGGCUAACUCCGUGCCAGCAGCCGCGGUAAUACGGAGGAUGCGAGCGUUAUCCGGAUUUAUUGGGUUUAGAGGGUGCGCAGGCGGAAUGUCAAGUCAGCGGUAAAAUUUCGGGGCUCAACCCCGUCGUGCCGUUGAAACUGGCGUUCUUGAGUGAGCGAGAAGUAUGCGGAAUGCGUGGUGUAGCGGUGAAAUGCAUAGAUAUCACGCAGAACCCCGAUUGCGAAGGCAGCCUUCCGGCGCCCUACUGACGCUGAGGCACGAAAGUGCGGAGAUCGAACAGGAUUAGAUACCCGUGUA